rnacentral:ncRNA from 1 species
UAUCAAGAGUGGACGAGAGAACGGCUUUAUGACUCCACAGCAACCUAGUUUUAAAACUAAGGUGCUAAUACCGACAAGUUAUAAACUUGAAUGAU